CAGCCGCCACGGUAAUACGGAGGGUGCAAGCGUUAUCCGGAUUUAUUGGGUUUAAAGGGUCCGUAGGCGGACUUAUAAGUCAGUGGUGAAAGCCUGUCGCUUAACGAUAGAACUGCCAUUGAUACUGUAAGUCUUGAGUAUAUUUGAGGUAGCUGGAAUAAGUAGUGUAGCGGUGAAAUGCAUAGAUAUUACUUAGAACACCAAUUGCGAAGGCAGGUUACCAAGAUAUAACUGACGCUGAGGGACGAAAGCGUGGGUAGCGAACAGGAUUAGAUACCCGCGUAGUCCCUGUCUCUUAUAC
rnacentral:rRNA from 1 species